GAGCGAGAAAGUGGAGCAAUCCAUGAGUAAAGCGGCGCACGGGUGAGUAACACGUGACUAACCUACCCUCGAGCGGGGAAUAACCUGGGGAAACCCGGGCUAAUACCGCAUAACACCUACGGGUCAAAGGAGCAAUCCACUUGAGGAGGGGGUCGCGGCAGAUUAGUUAGUUGGCGGGGUAAUGGCCCACCAAGACGAUGAUCUGUAUCCGGCCUGAGAGGGCGCACGGACACACUGGAACUGAAACACGGUCCAGACUCCUACGGGAGGCAGCAGUGGGGAAUUUUGCGCAAUGGGGGAAACCCUGACGCAGCAACGCCGCGUGGAGGAUGAAGUCCCUUGGGACGUAAACUCUUUUCGACCGGGACGAUUGUGACGGUUCCGGAUGAAGAAGCCCCGGCUAACUUCGUGCCAGCAGCCGCGGUAAUACGAGGGGGGCGAGCGUUGUUCGGAAUUAUUGGGCGUAAGGGUGCGUAAGC
rnacentral:rRNA from 1 species